GUUUUUCGCUCUAAGAUGAGUCCGCGUAAGAUUAGCUAGUUGGUGAGGUAAUGGCUCACCAAGGCGACGAUCUUUAACUGGUCUGAGAGGAUGAUCAGUCACACUGGAACUGAGACACGGUCCAGACUCCUACGGGAGGCAGCAGUAGGGAAUAUUGCACAAUGGGGGAAACCCUGAUGCAGCGACGCCGCGUGAGUGAUGAAGGCCUUCGGGUCGUAAAGCUCUGUCGUAUGGGACUAACACAAUG
rnacentral:rRNA from 1 species